GACGAACGCUGGCGGCGUGCUUAACACAUGCAAGUCGAGCGGUAAGGCCCUUUCGGGGGUACACGAGCGGCGAACGGGUGAGUAACACGUGGGUGACCUGCCCUCAGCUCUGGGAUAAGCCUGGGAAACCGGGUCUAAUACCGGAUAUGACUCCAUGACGCAUGUUGUGGGGUGGAAAGCCUUGUGCGGCUGAGGAUGGGCCCGCGGCCUAUCAGCUUGUUGGUGGGGUGANGGCCUACCAAGGCGACGACGGGUAGCCGGCCUGAGAGGGCGACCGGCCACACUGGGACUGAGACACGGCCCAGACUCCUACGGGAGGCAGCAGUGGGGAAUCUUGCGCAAGUGGGCGAAAGCCUGACGCAGCGACGCCGCGUGAGGGAUGACGGCCU
rnacentral:rRNA from 1 species